rnacentral:lncRNA from 1 species
AUGACAAAGUAUAAGCUUGAUUAUCAGAACAUACCAGAGUGUUACAGCACUGGAGAAGAUAAUAUCCCGUCAAAAAGACGUCCUCUGAGGCUUUACUGGGAGACUGCAGGCUUCUGCAAAUGCUCAACAUCAAGCAAGAAAUUUCUAUCAUUGAUAUUCAUUCUGAUUUUUCUAUGUUAAAUUUCCAUUAGCAUUAAUAUUUAUUCCAAAAUUAAAG